GCAAUACUACGUCCCCUUGAGGGGCAAAGUAAACGAUGAUCCGGGCGGAACUCUCGGGUAAAAUAUGUAUCAAACUGAAAAAUUCACUCGUCUUGGAUAGCAAACUAUCUGAGGCGGGGUUGUU
rnacentral:sRNA from 1 species